GUUAGCGUGGCACAAUCAGGCCCUGCGA
rnacentral:tRNA from 1 species